UACGAAGGGGGGCUAGCGUUGCUCGGAAUCACUGGGCGUAAAGCGCACGUAGGCGGACUCUUAAGUCGGUGGUGAAAUCCUGGAGCUCAACUCCAGAACUGCCUUCGAUACUGGGAGUCUCGAGUCCGGGAGAGGUGAGUGGAACUGCGAGUGUAGAGGUGAAAUUCGUAGAUAUUCGCAAGAACACCAGUGGCGAAGGCGGCUCACUGGCCCGGUACUGACGCUGAGGUGCGAAAGCGUGGGGAGCAAACA
rnacentral:rRNA from 1 species